rnacentral:lncRNA from 1 species
GUAAUGUUCAUUUGUUUAUACCUUCUACCUUUCUCCUUAGCAAGCUAACAUUAGCUAACGUUCAUUUGAAUUGGAAAGUUGGCAAACCAAGUUAGCAUGCUAACUUUAACUAGGUUACAUUGACUGUUAGCAGUUAAUAACUGCACGAAUGGCCAUUCGUUGAAAAAACUUGAACUUUGGUUAGAUUGAGAGUGCUUUAUUGCCAGUAAUAGUGUUAACGAGGUGUAAAUGACACCGUCGAUUAUUUAGCUUCGCCGUCUUUGGUGCCCUUUCUAUUGACAAUAGAAAAUAAAUAGAAAGGGCGCCAAAGACAGCAAAGCUACAUUUUCGAUGGUGUCAGUCAUUGUCUACAAUCUUAGCUAGCUGCUAAUAUAAGCACAAACAUGCUGCCCAGCCUUUCUAAGGAGGAUUUACAGUGAUUUCUUUCCCAGGCCAGAGCACUUCUUCAGAAGGAGAACCAUUUGGAGAUUUACUCAUGGUGAAAAUGAGGGUCAAGAAUCAGACCUGUGAAGACCAGGCACCUCCUCUGGGACCUUUCUUCAGGCGAGACCACUCUUCAGCCCUGUCGUGAUUGUCUGCGAACCCAACUGCGUACUGGCCAUUGGAACCAUGCCUGUGGUGACCUUCCCAAAAGAGGACAUCUAUGCCAGCGUGACGUAUCUCAUGGAGUGUUAUUACACCUUUACCUCACAUAUCCCAAGUACAUUGUGACACUCCUCUCUGUGUUGCAGACAGAAGUCCUCUCGGACGCCAUCCACGACCAGGACAUGACUUCUUCAUAUAAAAAGGCUAUGGCCGAGUGGAAAAAGUUCAUUACUGACUAGGGUUGCACAAUACCAUUUUUUCAUUUCCAGUCCCGAUAACAAAACUGUGUAUUGGCCCAUCCGAGAACUGAUCCUAUAACCUUUAAUAAAUAGACAGGGCGUUUGUUGUUUAUUAUAAGAAGGUUUAAAGCACUGUUAUGAAUGUUAUCUUCCCAUUGGUCUUACAUUUUCACCUUGACCACCAAUGGCCUUUGUUGUUUUUGCAUCCAGUUCUGCCCAUAUCAGCCUCUGGAUAUACUGAGUCUUCAAUAAAGAAGUGAAAAGAAAUGAGAUUCAUCACAUUUACAUCUUAGUCAUUUAGCAGAAGCUCUUAUUCAGAGCGACUUACAGUAGUGAAUGCAUACAAUUCAUACAUUUUUUUUUUUCUUCCUUCCCUGUGUUGGUCCCCCAUGGGAAUUGAACCCACAACCCUGGUGUUGCAAACACCAUGCUCUACCAACUGAGCCACUCUUUCAUUCUUUCUUUAAGCUGGCCAAUCUCAUUUCUAAUAGUAGUACAAGUACAUUUAUCUUAGUCAAGAUUACUUAUUUUAAGCAAAAUGUUUCUGUAAAUUCCUGGGAAUAUUGCCUUAUUUCAAGACGAUUGCAAUAGCAUUGGAUUCUAAAUUUAAGCACAUUUUCCUACAGAUUUAGAAAAUAAUUCUUAAAUCUUUUAUUUGCAUACAGACAAAUGUACUUUUUUUUUGUGUAGCUGUACUGGUUUUAAGAUAUAUUUACUAAACAUAUAGCCUUAUUUCAAGAUGAUGGCACUAGCAUUUGCUAAAUUUAAGCACAUUUUCCUACAUAUUGAGAAAAUUAUUCUUACAUCUUUUCUUUGUAUCCAGACAAAUUACUUGUUUUUAGUCUGAACGCACUAGGUUUAAGAUAUCUGUACAUUCUUUGAGACUAGAUAUUUUAACUUGUUUAAAAAAUCUUGUCAAGUAAAAUUUUCCUGUUCUGUUGGCAGAUCAUUUUGCCUAUUUUAAGUAAUAUUUCCCUAAUUGUAUUGCUUUUAUUUCUUGUUUUUGAGAGCUGACUUGCAGUGUAGGCUUUAGGGGGUGAGGGAGAGUGUUGUCUAGUAGUGAUUGUGCGGACCUUGGUUGUUUAUAUUUCUCUGUCAAAAGAGGUUUGUUCCUUGUAAUAGACUGUUUCUUGCUCUUCCAAUACACCAUUUUCUACUUCUCCAGUGCAGCUUGUCUGAGCUUCAUUUGGAAUGGUUAUAGAGGUCGAAGUCUCAGACUUUAAGCAUUCUGGCUCUUCUUUUCCUUCAAACAAUGGUUGAGAAGGUUUACCUGAGUAUUGUUGUGACUUCCCAGUUAUCUGGUUAGUAGAAGACCCUGAGGCUCCUGCCACUGCAGGCUGUUCAGAUUUAGACGCACUUGGUGAUUUUAUUGAACAUAUUGGAAUGUCUGUGUCUGAGCUUUUCAUGGCUUUCUUGUCAUUUGAUGGUCCAGUCGAAGAAGAAUCCCUGAGCGAAUUGGAUUCAAUAAUGUCCCUUUCUUCUGCUAUUAAAUCCUGCUUUGUUCUCAUUCAAAUCUUGUUUAGUUGGGGAGCGGGACAGAGAACCUGGACUUCUGGUGUGCGGUCCUUUAUGUUUUGAGAUUCCAUUAGUAUUUUUAUCUCCCUGGGGUAGUGGAUUCACCUGCCCUGGAUCUGAGUGAUCCGAGUGGUUGUUGUCAAUAAAGUCCCCCACUUCUACGGGCCCACCUAGGUCCCUCCCCCUGCGCCUCCUUGAUGGUGGGAGAGCCCACCUCUGACCAGUAAAGUCAAUCACAAACUGAGAGACAGGUCAACCACAGAAGAACUAGAAUGAGAUUAUGCUUACUUUGAGGUGAAGAUCAACACAAAGUAUAUUACAUUGAAGUGUUUUCAUACAUUUGCAUUGGGCUGUGAUCUGAGGGUGGUGAAUAUGGAUGCCAUAGACUGCAGACACUAUUAUUUAGCAAGCUAACUUACUAUCAUAGAACAAUAUAUUCAUUAUCUAUGUGUUUUUAGCCAGCAAGGCAGUCCCUCGCAUUUGAGUGAAAGCUAGCAAGAGGCCUGCCCAGCGUUAUUUUACAUUUUAGUCAUUUAGCAGACACUUUUUUUUUUGUACUGGCCCCCCGUGGGAAUUGAACCUACAACCCUGGCGUUGCACACACCAUGCUGGCGUUGCAAACACCAUGCUCUACCAACUGAGCCACAGGGAAGGCUCUUAUCAAUGAUGUUAGCUAUCUGUUAGCUAGCUAGCAAACUAACACCGAUUUAGCCUACUGUAAUUUCCGGACUAUUAAGCGCACCUGAAUAUAAGCCGCACCCACUGAAUUAAAAAAUAUAUAUUAUUUUGAACAUAAAUAAGCCGCACAUGUCUAUAAGCCGCAGGUGCCUACCGGUUACUUUGAAACAAAUUAACUUUACACAGGCUUUAACGAAACACGGCUUGUAACAAAAAUAAAUAGGCUUUAACGAAACACGGCUUGUAACAAGAAAUAAAAAAUUAGCAGUAAGCUUUAGUUGUCUUUUUGCACUGAGUCAAUUCCUCAUGCUGCUGUUUCCAACGUCUUAUCAUCGACUCAUUAAGACCAAGCUCCCGUGCAGCAGCUCUAUUUCCUUUUCCAACAGCCAGAUCAAUCGCCUUCAACUUGAAAGAUGCAUCAUAUGCAUUUCUCUGUGUCUUUGCCAUGAUGAGGGUGACAAAAUGACUACCGUAAUCAGAAUGAUGGGAAGUUUGAGAGCGCUCUAUUUAAUCUAAACAGUAAACAAAAAAG